rnacentral:misc_RNA from 1 species
AACAAGGCGUACCUGCGGACCUGCGGAGGGAUCAUUAAAGAAUUCGACCUCCGGGUCUUUUUCUUCUCUCACAGCUGUGCGCUUCGGCUGCACGCCGUGGGAUAAACCUCACACACCCUGUGCACACUUCGGUUGCCGACGUCCUCGCGGACGGAAGCUUCCGCUUUCACAUUUAACAACAGUCCAGAAUGUCACACACUUUAAAAAUAACAACUUUUAACAAUGGAUCUCAGAUCGGAA